CUUCUUACUUAAAUUUAUUAACCUCUUCGGUAGAUUAUUGACCGCGAUCAUAGGGACAAUAAUGUGGCAAAAAGCCGGUAUUUCGUGUUUGGUUGGCAUUGGAACAUUGUUGAUCAUUGUCCUCCCAGGACAAGAGAUUUUGAGCUUCUUGAAUCUCAAACUCAGAACCAUGAUUGCGCCACUGACGGACCGAAGAGUACAACUAAUGAGCGAACUCAUAGCUGGGAUACAGGUAUCCCCAAAAAGUUGGUGGUGAAGAUGUACGCCAGGGAGAAAUCGUCCAGAUUGUGUCAGUAAUUAGAAAAUUAGAGAUCAAUCAAAUUAAAUUCUCGUCGUACGUGCGCGUCGCAUAUUUAGCCAUCAUAGCCUUCACGGAACGAUUGACCGUCUAUUUCACUCUGAUAAUGUUUUUCUUAAUGGAAAAUAAUUUGACUGUCGAUGUGACCUAUGAAAUGUCGACAUACUUUAAUAUACUUCAACUCGUCGUCGCGUUGUACUUUCCGCAAGGGCUAAUACUGCUGGGUGAAUCAAUAGUCAUUCAAUCGAUUGGAGGAUUUUUUGCUGAUGGACGGAGUGAACACGAGACGCUUCUCGGAGAACACGCCGCAGUUGCAGUUUAAAUCUCAGAAACCAAAGAAAGAAACUAAUGCAGAGAAUCAAAUUGGCCUGUUACAUCUCGAGAAAUGGGAGUAUCGUUCUGUCCGAACAUCAAAGAUUAUCUGAUCUUCCGGUGUACAUAAAGCUUCAGCGAGUUUCAUCCAAUUGGAUCAGUGGCCAAUUGCCGCCGACUUUGUGCAAUAUUAAUUUAACUAUCAAGCCAGGUAAAUUAUGUAUUGUAGUUGGUGCAGUGGGCUCUGGCAAAUCGUCUGUAUUACAUCUACUAUUGAAGGAAUUAAAUCCCGCCACGGGUUUCAUAACUUACUCAGGGCUCCUCGAAGUAUAAUUUUCCGGACAAUUUAUCCACUGGAUACUUCACGAACAAUCCAAAUCUGCGUAUCUCCUAUGCCAGUCAAGAAUCUUGGCUUUUCAGUGGUACCGUAAGGGACAAUAUACUGUUUAGCCAGUCCUAUGAUAAUGCUAGAUACAUGCAGGGAGACAUAACAAUGAUCGGCGAUAGAGGUGUACCUUUGUCCGGUGGUCAAAGAGCGCGAAUCAAUCUCGCAAGGGCAAUUUAUAGACAAGCGGAUGUCUAUUUGCUCGACGAUCCCUUGAGCGCGGUUGAUACUCGUGUUGCUAGGCAUCUCGAUGGGAAGUGCAUCACCGAAUAUCUCCACGGUAAGACGAGGAUACUUGUCACACAUCAAUUGCAAUUCCUUAAAAGGGCGGAUCACAUUAUCGUACUGGAUCGAGAUUUCGUGAAAAUGCUAGGAAAUUAAAACUAAUUAGUACAGUCAAAUAAAAAUUUCAUUGGGAUGUUGGACAAUUUGAACCAAGCGCAGAGAAAGGAAGAGGACAUGAGAAGAGCUUCGGAAAUGUCUAAGUGAAUCACAAUAACGAGAAAAUAUCAAGAUUAUCGACUACAAAUUCUAUCGCUGUAAGAUAAUUACUCGUUAUUUAUAAUAAAAAAAAUAUAGUUUACAUUUGAUUUGUGUUGGGAAUAAAAGAAUAUUAGAACAAGAAUGUAAGAAGUGUUAUUCGAUCAAUGCGGACUUGACGACUCAUCGUGCACACACGCGGAUAAUUAGUGACGAAGGACCUGCCGGUAGGGCAUGAAUACGCGCCUAGCGGCGAACAAAAUAAUAAACAUAAACAUAACUCGUCGAUAAUCAAUCGGCCGUGA